AUUGAACGCUGGCGGCAGGCCUAACACAUGCAAGUCGAGCGGAUGAGUGGAGCUUGCUCCAUGAUUCAGCGGCGGACGGGUGAGUAAUGCCUAGGAAUCUGCCUGGUAGUGGGGGACAACGUUUCGAAAGGAACGCUAAUACCGCAUACGUCCUACGGGAGAAAGCAAGGGACCUUCGGGCCUUGCGCUAUCAGAUGAGCCUAGGUCGGAUUAGCUAGUUGGUGAGGUAAAGGCUCACCAAGGCGACGAUCCGUAACUGGUCUGAGAGGAUGAUCAGUCACACUGGAACUGAGACACGGUCCAGACUCCUACGGGAGGCAGCAGUGGGGAAUAUUGGACAAUGGGCGAAAGCCUGAUCCAGCCAUGCCGCGUGUGUGAAGAAGGUCUUCGGAUUGUAAAGCACUUUAAGUUGGGAGGAAGGGCAGUAAGUUAAUACCUUGCUGUUUUGACGUUACCGACAGAAUAAGCACCGGCUAACUUCGUGCCAGCAGCCGCAGUAAGAC
rnacentral:rRNA from 1 species